AACGAACGUUGGCGGCAUGGAUGAGGCAUGCAAGUCGCGGGAAUCCCAGCAAUGGGGGAACCGGCGUAAGGGGCAGUAAGGCGUGGGUACCCACCCCCGGGUCCGGGAUAGCCCGCCGAGAGGCGGGGUAAUACCGGAUGACCUCGGGAGAGCAAAGCUCCGGCGCCCGGGGCGGGGCCCACGUGAUAUUAGCUAGUUGGCGGGGUGACGGCCCACCAAGGCGGAGAUGUCUAGCGGGUGUGAGAGCACGACCCGCGCCACUCGCACUGAGACACUGGCGAGACACCUACGGGUGGCUGCAGUGGAGGAUCUUCGGCAAUGGGGGCAACCCCGACCGAGCGAUGCCGCGUGGGCGACGAAGGCCUUCGGGUUGUAAAGCCCUGUCGAGGGGGAGAAAGGGGAAACCCGGAUCCAUCCCUGGAGGAAGCUCGGGCUAAGUUCGUGCCAGCAGCCGCCGUAAUAC
rnacentral:rRNA from 1 species